UUAACUCUUUAGAAGGUGUUAGUAGUGAUGACAGUAUUAUCUCUUUAGAAGGUGUUAGUAGUGAUGACAGUAUUAACUCUUUAGGUGUUUGUAGUGAUGACAGUAUUAACUCUUUAGGUGUUAGUAGUGAUGACAGUAUUAACUCUUUAGAAGGUGUUAGUAGUGAUGACAGUAUUAACUCUUUAGAAGGUGUUUGUAGUGAUGACAGUAUUAACUCUUUAGAAGGUGUUAGUAGUGAUGACAGUAUUAACUCUUUAGAAGGUGUUAGUAGUGAUGACAGUAUUAACUCUUUAGAAGGUGUUUGUAGUGAUGACAGUAUUAACUCUUUAGAAGGUGUUAGUAGUGAUGACAGUAUUAACUCUUUAGAAGGUGUUAGUAGUGAUGACAGUAUUAACUCUUUAGAAGGUGUUAGUAGUGAUGACAGUAUUAACUCUUUAGAAG